rnacentral:rRNA from 1 species
AUUGAACGCUGGCGGCAGGCUUAACACAUGCAAGUCGAACGAGUGGCGGACGGGUGAGUAAUGCUUGGGAAUCUGGCUUAUGGAGGGGGAUAACGACGGGAAACUGUCGCUAAUACCGCGUACCAUCGGAUCAGCCCAAGUGGGAUUAGGUAGUUGGUGGGGUAAUGGCCUACCAAGCCGACGAUCUCUAGCUGGUCUGAGAGGAUGACCAGCCACACUGGGACGGAGACACGGCCCAGACUCCUACGGGAGGCAGCAGUGGGGAAUAUUGGGCAAUGGGGGCAACCUGACGCAGCCAUGCCGCGUGUAUGAAGAAGGCCUUCGGGUUGUAAAGGACUUUCGGCGACGAGGCGUUACCCACAGAAUAAGCACCGGCUAACUCCGUGCCAGCAGCCGCGGUAAUAC